ensembl:snRNA U6 U6 spliceosomal RNA
GUGCUUGCUACGGCUGCACAUAUACUAAAAUUGGAUCGAUACAGAGAAGAUUAGCAUGGCCCCUGCGAAAGGAUGACACGCAGAUCCGUGAAGCGUUCCAUAUUUUG